UGGGGAAUUUUGGACAAUGGGCGAAAGCCUGAUCCAGCAAUGCCGCGUGUGUGAAGAAGGCCUUCGGGUUGUAAAGCACUUUUGUCCGGAAAGAAAUCCUUGGCUCUAAUACAGUCGGGGGAUGACGGUACCGGAAGAAUAAGCACCGGCUAACUACGUGCCAGCAGCCGCGGUAAUACGUAGGGUGCAAGCGUUAAUCGGAAUUACUGGGCGUAAAGCGUGCGCAGGCGGUUUGCUAAGACCGAUGUGAAAUCCCCGGGCUCAACCUGGGAACUGCAUUGGUGACUGGCAGGCUAGAGUAUGGCAGAGGGGGGUAGAAUUCCACGUGUAGCAGUGAAAUGCGUAGAGAUGUGGAGGAAUACCGAUGGCGAAGGCAGCCCCCUGGGCCAAUACUGACGCUCAUGCACGAAAGCGUGGGGAGCAAACAGGAUUAGAUACCCCUGGUAGUCCACGCCCUAAACGAUGUCAACUAGUUGUUGGGGGAUUCAUUUCCUUAGUAACGUAGCUAACGCGUGAAGUUGACCGCCUGGGGAGUACGGUCGCAAGAUUAAAACUCAAGGAAUUGACGGGGUCAUAGCUGUUUCCU
rnacentral:rRNA from 1 species